UCCCCUGCUCCCGAGGCCGCGGGACGCGCCGCGUCUGCCGGCGCAGGCGGGCGGAAGGGGCGGGCCGCAGCGCGCCGCGCCGCCGGGGCGGGCCGAGGGCCGCCUCGUCCCCGCCUCGGGGCCUGGCUGCCGCGCCGCGGGAAGCGGGGGGGUGGCGAGCCCUGGGCCGGGACGCCCCCGGCCGCUACUGCUUGCCCCACGGCGCGCAACAACCGGCCUUUCCGGCCAGAGCCGCCCGGUCCCGGUAACGGCAGAGGGAGGCGAGGCAGGGCGAGCCCCGGGCGCCCCGGCCGAGGCGGCCCCGCGGGAGGCAGCGCCGGCCCCGGCCGCUCGGCCCUCCGUGGCGGGCAGCGGCGCUUUCGGCCUGUGCAGGGAAGCGCCGCCGCUGCCGGCGCGCCGGGAAGCAGGAUCCGGUGCAUUCACGGAGUGGGGGAAACGCACGGCAUCCCCGUUUCCCAGUUUGCAUGUUUCAAGUUGAAAAAGUACUUGGGCAUUUUUUGGUAACUUACUUGUGAAACACGUCGGAGCCCCUGGCAACGGAAUGAUGUUAUGCCGUGCAAGGCAGGAUGAGCACAUAUCUGCAAUACAUUUCAGAAGACAUGAUGAAGUUAACAGCUGAUUCUCAGCUGGGCUGACCUUUGUAAUUCCUCCUUGGCUUCACUUCUUGUGAGCAAUAUAGCUCUCCCAAGCUUUUAUACCAUGACAUCUUUAUUCUUCCUUCUGUAUUCCUUACUUAAAUUCAGUGUCUCUCUUGUAACUACGAGAAGACGUUUCAGAAAGGACAUUACUGCUAACUAAAAAAAAAUCUAAUUCUGCAAAAAACUGUAACAAUGAGUGCUUUAUAUACUUUAGCAUUUCUGUUGACUGCAUGCGCUAAAGCUCCUCACAGUAUGUAUAUUUGUACAAGAUCAUGGCUAGUGGGAACCAGGGCAGGAAUUCUGCUGUUUGUGCUUCCAGGAGGUUUACUGCCGCUAUUGUGACAUAACAUACAAAAUCAUAUCACCGAAGUAGUGCAUUAAGUAGCUGUGUUGAGACAAAAUGUUUUUUAUUCCUGGGACUUAAUCAAGCAUCUGAACUCCAUUAGUGAAACUGUCUUUACUAUACAUGCCUGAGAUAUGUUGUUUCAUAUUUUAGAACAGUAGUAUCCUACUGGUAAUAGUAUUUGCAGUUUAUUAGUAAAUGAGUGUUAUGGUAAAAAUACUAUUAAUUUCAGAGCUUGGCACAAUAUAUGUUUUUAUAAAUGCCUACAUUAUAUAAAUGCUUUAAAUUAUCUAAAUAUUGCUAUUGAUUUGUACACACUUAGAAUCACCUAAAUACUGUUUAUGGAAUUGAUGUUGGAGAAGAAAACAUCUUUGUGUCUUCAGGUGUUUCAGUAAACUCAGUAUACGCAUCAACAUUGCUCAUAGUUUUCCAAACAAAUCAUAAGGCACCUCCUUGCAAAAUCAGGCACGUGCAUAAGUUCUAGCAAAUGCAUUUAUCACCUCUAGCAUAUGCCAUGUUUUUAAAGUCAGAACCUGCAUUCAGUUUUUGUGUAUGCCCUAGCAAUUGUAAACCAUUGGAAUAAAUAAAGAUACAACAGUUACAGUUCUGUUUUGGUCCCCCUCUCCAGAUCUCUCAAGUCAGCAAGUUUGUACGUGUUUAACAGCAAGGACAUACGUCUAGUUCUUAAGAGUUUAUGGCCAGUUCCUAAGUGUUUAACAUAAAUGUUUUGCAUGCUAUCCCAGGGCACGCCAUAUCAAGCUAACACAGUAUCUGUGCCCGUUAAUCAGUUUAUGAUAUUUGAGCUCUGGGUUUGAAUCCAUUUUAAGGCUCAAAAUGAAGAAAGGCAGAAACUGGCACUUUAAAAAUCAACAAGCAUUUUUCUGCAUGUCAGUCUUUUAUGAUUUAGAGUGUACCUUCUACUUCUGUUCAGGUGAAACUUCUUAAAAGACACUGAGGAAGGCAACUAAAUCAACCAAGCUCUUAUUCCUGAAACGAUUCAAAAAUUUUUUUGAAACCCUUAUUGAAAAUCUUAAAAUUAUUAUUCAUAUCUUUCAAAGAGACAAAAAGAGGGAAAGGCAUGACAAUGAGACUUGAGGUGACACCUGUAAUUACAAACCAGUAUCUAGCAGUGCUGUCAGAUUACAAUUAUAUCCUAAGGACAAUAUUGCUGUACACUUUUUUCUAAAUAUUAUAACCACAUUAUAGCUAUGUCUUUCAAGGAUUUAAACAAAACUGAGGAACGGAAGAAUACCUGAAGCACUGAAAAGUCAAAAGAAAAGUGAGAAACAGAAGAUGGCAUGUGUUUCUGAGAGUCUAAUUAUUGUGUAACUGUAUAAAUAAUGGAUAAAAUGAUAACACUUACUGUA